GACAGAGGGUGCUAGCGUUGUUCGGAUUGACUGGGCGUAAAGGGCGCGUAGGCGGUUAUAUUAGUCAGAUGUGAAAGCCCAGGGCUCAACCCUGGAACUGCGUUUGAAACGGUAUGGCUAGAGACCGAGAGAGGAAAGUAGAAUUCCUAGUGUAGAGGUGAAAUUCGUAGAUAUUAGGAGGAAUACUAGAGGCGAAGGCGGCUUUCUGGCUCGGUUCUGACGCUGAGGCGCGAAAGCGUGGGGAGCAAACAGG
rnacentral:rRNA from 1 species